rnacentral:rRNA from 1 species
CGCGGCCUAUCAGCUUGUUGGUGAGGUAACGGCUCACCAAGCCUGCGACGGGUAGCCGGUCUGAGAGGAUGAUCGGCCCGAGGGGCACUGAGACACGGGCCCCACUCCUACGGGAGGCAGCAGUCGGGAAUUUUGGGCAAUGGGCGCAAGCCUGACCCAGCGACGCCGCGUGGAGGACGAAGCCCUUCGGGGUGUAAACUCCUUUUAGUGGGGACGAACGCAGACGGUACCCACAGAAAAAGCCCCGGCUAACUACGUGCCAGCAGCCGCGGUAAUACGUAGGGGGCGAGCGUUGCCCGAAUUUACUGGGCGUAAAGCGCACGUAGGCGGCUCCGUAAGUCUGGUGUGAAAUCUCACGGCUCAACCGGGAGGCUGCACCAGAUACUGCGGAGCUCGAGGACGGGAGAGGAGAUUGGAAUUCCCGGUGUAGCGGUGAAAUGCAUUGAUAUCGGGAGGAACACCAGUGGCGAAGGCGGAUCUCUGGCCCGUUACUGACGCUGAGGUGCGAAAGCUGGGGGAGCGAAAGGGAUUAGAUACCCCUGUAGUCCCAGCCCUAAACGAUGGGCGCUAGGUGUUGGGGGAUUUCCCCUCAGCGCCGUAGCUAACGCAUUAAGCGCCCCGCCUGGGGAGUACGG